rnacentral:pre_miRNA from 1 species
AAAAAGAUAAACCUUAAGUUUCCGUGUCCAAUUUUAACUGUCCGUCUUAUAUGAAAUUUUUUUAUAAUUCGUAUUUUCAUUGUUGUUAGAUGAUAAAACAUAAUUAAUAUUUUAUGUGUGACUUGUCUUUAAUUUUUUUAUAAUUUUUUCAAAUAAGACGGACGGUCAAACAUUAUACACGGAAACC